AACAAUGCACUUCUUCGACAUCCGGCAUCGCAUACAUAACACCAUCGCAUUUCAAACCCUCAGUUCGCGCUUCGUCAUCGACCUCAACGCGUUUCCCCUUGCGCUUCGUCAUCAACCUCAACGCGUUUCACCUUGCGCUUCGUCAUCAACCUCAACGCGUUUCACCUUGCGCUUCGUCAUCAACCUCAACGUGUUUCGCCUUGCGCUUCUCAAUUGCGCUUCGUCAUCAACCUCAACGCGUUUCACCUUGCGCUUCGUCAUCAACCUCAACGCGUUUCACCUUGCGCUUCGUCAUCAACCUCAACGUGUUUCGCCUUGCGCUUCUCAUUUCGUCAACUCAAUGUUCAAUUUAGACGAUUCAAGCUCCAAC
rnacentral:lncRNA from 1 species